rfam:Rhizophagus irregularis DAOM 181602 strain DAOM 197198 GLOINscaffold_2843_Cont2844, whole genome shotgun sequence.
GCCCGGUUAGUUCAGUUGGUUAGAACGCCACAACUUAAUUAAAUAAUAUAAGUUUUCAAAGAUAAAUCGUGGAAACGCGGGUUCAAUUCCUGCACUGGGCU